rnacentral:lncRNA from 1 species
AUCCGAAAGUGCAUGCUUUCGGAGGCAGGUUAGGCGGCCAAAGGCUGCCUCCACAAGCAGGUUCGACGACCGAAUCUGGGUUCUCCAGAAUGGCAGAACCCGAUUCUGCCCUAUGCAUUUCAGCCCCAAAACUCUCAAAUCCUCACACCCAACUUCUCACAACAUGCAUACACACUCCAACAUGCAUAAGGGGUAUAAAAACUAGCCUAAACCCCAACAAACAGCAACAAAACACAAGAGAGAGCAUACAUUCACCAAAACCC